GCAAAUGACUGUAGCAGAACUGAAUGAGCUUUGAUUGCUCCCCUCUCCGCGCAUCUCAGAAGGUCACAGCUCAGGAGACUGAAGUGUCAUUAUAGUGAAACGCCUGCAAUAAGCAGAUGGCCAGCAACAGUGACAGUGUGUUUGCUGAAGCGUUGGAUCCUCGGUCCGUUAGAUUUAUUUCCCUACAGUAGGCGACACCAGGAUGCAUCUUACUGUGAGUUUAGGUAACAAUGUGAUUUGAGGCUCAGCCAUCUUUAUUACGUGUUUAAUUAUAUUUGUUUGGAGAUUAUUUGGAGAAGGAAUAAAUCCAUUUCAAUCCAUCAAGAGGAGAAGAUGCGCCACACAUGCAAGAAAACAAGAAGAGACGCACCAGACCAGGAAUGCAGGCAACAAAUAAUGACAACAGGUGUUCUGCCCAGGUAAAGGCAAGACGCACAUGCGCACGCGCUCCAGCAGCAGGUGUCAGGCGUUGGGUCAGAACCAGACAACGUUGACGUUUUAGCAGCUUUACUGUACAUUCGGAUCAAUGUGGUCACGUUAAGGUGCGCCGCAGACAUGGUUAGCGCUGCCGUCGCUGCUGAGGCCGCAGGCGGAAGCAACAAACGACGGACGCACAGUUCAAACCGAGGGAGGCAAAAGGACCGCGCACAGGAUAAGAUGGAAGAAUCCAGGAGACCCGGUUGGUGAGCUCUGCGACAAGAAAUGGCAAAAAUCCAAGCCAGAGCUGUCUGCUGCAAGAUUCUGACAUGGAAAUCUUGAUUUGCAAUCAUCAUUUUCUUGAUUUCACUGUUGCAGCCUUUUAGCUUUAUCUAAGGCUGACGUUGGGUUACAUUUCAGUGUGUUGGAACUCUGUAACGCUGGAAUUCUUUGUUUUAUUCUGUGUUUAUUCUUGUUGCAUUGUGGAAGCCAACCUACAAGGUGUGUGUUAUACUCUGUGACCCUCUGAGUAAAACACUCGCUUGUCACAUUUGAGACCUGUGUCAAGUGUUAAUGCUACUGAGAUGUUGACACCCAGAGACACAGAGUGCUCCUCCACACAGCUGUGAACAUAGUGAAGCAACAAAGAAGUGAUGAUAAGCUGAUGUUAGACACCUCGUGCUGUGUUUUCUAUUUUACCAUGAAUGUACGAUAACACUGAAGAACAACCAGAAGAUGUUGAAUUAUGUAGUGUAGUAAGAAAGGGGUCUUAAAGUUUAUUUUCUAUUUUAGAUUCAUUGAAUAACAAACACCCAAGUAUGUGACAGGUGUAUUGAAUAAAAAGGCUACUGUAUUGAAAAUUAAUUCACGUCUUCUAGGUUUCCCUUCAUGUAAAAUGUGGGGAAAGCAUUACAUCAUUACUGUUUAAAGUGUGUGCGCAGAUGUCACAUUCCCAGCAGACCACACAACCAGCAUCAACCUGGCUGCCUUCAGUAGAGGAAACUACACAAUGGGAGUUAAACCCCUGCUUAUCUGUUAUAUUAAAGGCAACUGGGCUCAGCAGUGAAUAUUACAACCUAUUGAACCACCAGUCGUCCAUAUUCUUUCACUGCUUCAUUCCUGUAGUAGAGUGACAACGCUCUGUGUCUGUGCUAAAUAAAACACAGUGGAAAAUAUUUAGACCACUAUGUGACAA